GACGAACGCUGGCGGCGUGCUUAACACAUGCAAGUCGAGCGGUAAGGCCCCUUCGGGGGUACACGAGCGGCGAACGGGUGAGUAACACGUGAGCAAUCUGCCCAUCACAUCGGGAUAACUCCGGGAAACCGAAGCUAAUACCGAAUACGACCACCUCCGGCAUCGGAUGGUGGUGGAAAGUUCCGGCGGUGAUGGAUGAGCUCGCGGCCUAUCAGCUUGUUGGUGGGGUAACGGCCCACCAAGGCUUCGACGGGUAGCCGGCCUGAGAGGGUGACCGGCCACACUGGGACUGAGACACGGCCCAGACUCCUACGGGAGGCAGCAGUGGGGAAUAUUGGACAAUGGGCGAAAACCUGAUCCAGCAACGCCGCGUGAGGGAUGACGGCCUUCGGGUUGUAAACCUCUUUCAGCAGGGACGAAGCGCAAGUGACGGUACCUGCAGAAGAAGCACCGGCCAACUACGUG
rnacentral:rRNA from 1 species